GAUAAACGCUGGCGGCGUGCCUAACACAUGCAAGUCGAACGGGAACCUUUGGAUUCGUCCGAGGGGGAGAGUGGCGAACGGGUGAGUAACACGUAGGUGACCUGCCUCAAAGACAGGGAUAACUGCUGGAAACGGCAGCUAAUACCUGAUGGAUUCGUUGAUUCGUUUCAACGAAUAAAGGCUGAGGCGCUUUGAGAGGGACCUGCGGCCCAUCAGCUAGUUGGUAGGGUAAAGGCCUACCAAGGCGAAGACGGGUAGGGGACGUGAGAGCGUGACCCCCCACACUGGGACUGAGACACGGCCCAGACUCCUACGGGAGGCAGCAGUGAGGAAUAUUGCGCAAUGAGCGAAAGCUAGACGCAGCAACGCCGCGUGGGUGAAGAAGGCCUUCGGGUCGUAAAACCCUUUUCUGGGGGAAGAGCAAGGAC
rnacentral:rRNA from 1 species